UACGUAGGGGGCAAGCGUUGUCCGGAAUCAUUGGGCGUAAAGCGCGUGUAGGCGGCUAGGUAAGUCUGCUCUGAAAGCCCGGGGCUCAACCCCGGGAGGCGGGUGGAUACUGUCUAGCUCGAGUCCGGAAGAGGAGUGUGGAAUUCCUGGUGUAGCGGUGAAAUGCGCAGAUAUCAGGAGGAACACCAAUGGCGAAGGCAGCACUCUGGGGACGUGACUGACGCUGAGACGCGAAAGCGUGGGGAGCAAACAGG
rnacentral:rRNA from 1 species